rnacentral:rRNA from 1 species
AAUCUUCGUCAAUGGACGAAAGUCUGACGCAACCACGCCGCGUGAGCGAUGAAGGCCUNCGGAUCNUNAAACUCUUUUGGUAGGGNCGAAAAAGCAUCGGAGACACCGCCGGUACCAUGACGGUACCUGCAGAAUAAGCCCCGGCUAACUACGUGCCAGCAGCCGCGGUAAUACGUAGGUUGCAAGCGUUGACCGGAAUUACUGGGCGUAAAGCGUGCGUAGGCGGUUCUGUAAGACAGAUGUGAAAUCCUAGGGCUUAACUUUGGGCCGGCAUUGUUAACUGGCGGGCUAGGGUGCGGAAGAGGGGGGUGGAAUUCCGUGUGUAGCAGUGAAAUGCGUAGAGAUGUGGAGGAACACCGAUGGCGAAGGCAGCCUUCUGGGCUGUCACUGACGCUGAUGCGCGAAAGCGUGGGGAGCAAACA